GGCGAGUGGCGAACGGGUGAGUCAUACAUCGGAACGUGUCCUGGAGUGGGGGAUCGCCCGGCGAAAGCCGGAUUAAUACCGCAUACGAUCUCUGGAUGAAAGCGGGGGACCGAAAGGCCUCGCGCUCAAGGGGCGGCCGAUGGCAGAUUAGCUAGUUGGUGGGGUAAAGGCCUACCAAGGCGACGAUCUGUAGCUGGUCUGAGAGGACGACCAGCCACACUGGGACUGAGACACGGCCCAGACUCCUACGGGAGGCAGCAGUGGGGAAUUUUGGACAAUGGGGGCAACCCUGAUCCAGCAAUGCCGCGUGUGUGAAGAAGGCCUUCGGGUUGUAAAGCACUUUUGUCCGGAAAGAAAACCGCUUCUCUAAUACAGAGGUGGGAUGACGGUACCGGAAGAAUAAGCACCGGCUAACUACGUGCCAGCAGCCGCGGUAAUACGUAGGGUGCGAGCGUUAAUCGGAAUUACUGGGCGUAAAGCGUGCGCAGGCGGUUCGCUAAGACCGAUGUGAAAUCCCCGGGCUUAACCUGGGAACUGCAUUGGUGACUGGCGGGCUAGAGUAUGGCAGAGGGGGGUAGAAUUCCACGUGUAGCAGUGAAAUGCGUAGAGAUGUGGAGGAAUACCGAUGGCGAAGGCAGCCCCCUGGGCCAAUACUGACGCUCAUGCA
rnacentral:rRNA from 1 species